AGCGAACGCUGGCGGCAGGCUUAACACAUGCAAGUCGAACGCCCCGGAAGGGGAGUGGCAGACGGGUGAGUAACACGUGGGAACGUACCCUUUGGUUCGGACUAACUUGGGGAAAAUCAAGCUAAUACCGGAUAAGCCCGUAUGGUGAACGGUUUACUGCCGAAGGAUCGGUCGGCGUCUGAUUAGCUAGUUGGUGAGGUAAUGGCUCACCAAGGCGACGAUCAGUAGCUGGUCUGAGAGGAUGAUCAGCCACACUGGGACUGAGACACGGCCCAGACUCCUACGGGAGGCAGCAGUGGGGAAUAUUGGACAAUGGGGGCAACCCUGAUCCAGCCAUGCCGCGUGAGUGAUGAAGGCCUUAGGGUUGUAAAGCUCUUUUACCCGGGACGAUAAUGACUGUACCGGGAGAAUAAGCCCCGGCUAACUUCGUGCCAGCCGCCGCUGUAA
rnacentral:rRNA from 1 species